AUUGAACGCUGGCGGCGUGCUUAACACAUGCAAGUCGAGCGGUAACAGGUGUAGCAAUACAUGCUGACGAGCGGCGAACGGGUGAGGAAUGCUUCGGAAUCUGCCUCGUAGUGGGGAAUAACUAGCCGAAAGGUUAGCUAAUGCCGCAUACGAACUACGGUUGAAAGCGGGGGAUCGCAAGACCUCGCGCUAUGAGAUGAGCCGAAGUCCGAUUAGCUAGUUGGUGAGGUAACGGCUCACCAAGGCGACAAUCGGUAGCUGGUCUGAGAGGACGACCAGCCACACUGGGACUGAGACACGGCCCAGACUCCUACGGGAGGCAGCAGUGGGGAAUAUUGGACAAUGGGCGAAAGCCUGAUCCAGCGACGCCGCCGUGUGUGAAGAAGGCCUGCGGGUUGUAAAGCACUUUAUGGGGAUGAAAAGCUCAGGGCUAAUACUCCUGGUCUUG
rnacentral:rRNA from 1 species